CCUGAGAAACCCAAAAGAUCGAAUGGGGAGAUUCAUCGUCAGCGAUCCUGGCGCGUGUGCGGUUCGUGAUGCCACGAGGCUUAUGUCUCCCGUGGCACGCGUCCGUAUGGUUUUAUUGCCAGGUGUCGUCGGCGUGCACUUCUCCCCUAGUAGGACGUCGCGACCCGUUGGGUGUCGGUCUACGGCCCGGGUGGGCGCCUGUCAUGUGUCACGCUUCACGGCGUCGUGUGGCAGACCCCCGGUUGUCUGGCCGGCUGCUCGGCGGUACUCGCACGGUAUCGGGCCGCAAAUAUUCGAACUGCGUCCGGCCCGCCGCAAGCGAGGUCAGUGUUUCCCGGAUGUACGGACCUAGCGCCGGCACCGGGCCUGGCCAGCUGUUGGUUGGCGGUGUCCUGGGACUGGCUCUUUAUUAAAUUAUGAUACCGGUCGGCGACGCUACUGCUUUSGGUACUUUCAGGA
rnacentral:rRNA from 1 species